rnacentral:rRNA from 1 species
ACGGAGGGUGCAAGCGUUAUCCGGAUUUAUUGGGUUUAAAGGGUCCGCAGGCGGACUUGUAAGUCAGUGGUGAAAGCCUUCAGCUUAACUGGAGAAUUGCCAUUGAUACUGCUAGUCUUGAGUUCGGUUGAAGUGGGCGGAAUAUGUAGUGUAGCGGUGAAAUGCAUAGAUAUUACAUAGAACACCUAUUGCGAAGGCAGCUCACUAAGCCGAUACUGACGCUCAGGGACGAAAGCGUGGGGAGCGAACAGG